UACGGGGGGGCAAGCGUUGUUCGGAAUUACUGGGCGUAAAGGGCGCGUAGGCGGUGCUCUAAGUUAGAUGUGAAAACUCUGGGCUCAACCCAGAGCCUGCAUCUAAAACUGGAGUGCUAGAGUUCUGGAGGGGGUAGCGGAAUUCCUGGUGUAGCGGUGAAAUGCGUAGAUAUCAGGAGGAACACCGGUGGCGAAGGCGGCUACCUGGACAGGAACUGACGCUGGAGGCGCGAAAGCUAGGGGAGCAAACAGG
rnacentral:rRNA from 1 species